CUCAGAUUGAACGCUGGCGGAAUGCUUUACACAUGCAAGUCGAACGGCAGCACGGGGCAACCUGGUGGCGAGUGGCGAACGGGUGAGUAAUACAUCGGAACGUGCCCAAUCGUGGGGGAUAACGUAGCGAAAGUUACGCUAAUACCGCAUACGAUCUACGGAUGAAAGCGGGGGAUCGCAAGACCUCGCGCGAAUGGAGCGGCCGAUGUCAGAUUAGGUAGUUGGUGGGGUAAAGGCUCACCAAGCCGACGAUCUGUAGCUGGUCUGAGAGGACGACCAGCCACACUGGGACUGAGACACGGCCCAGACUCCUACGGGAGGCAGCAGUGGGGAAUUUUGGACAAUGGGCGCAAGCCUGAUCCAGCCAUUCCGCGUGCAGGAUGAAGGCCUUCGGGUUGUAAACUGCUUUUGUACGGAACGAAACGGUGAGCUCUAAUACAGUUUGCUAAUGACGGUACCGUAAGAAUAAGCACCGGCUAACUACGUG
rnacentral:rRNA from 1 species